GGGGUCCUGCUGCUUUCCGGGGUUGUUUAGUGACCUGUUGAGACGAUGCUAGCUAGCUAGCUGACGGCGGCAUCUGCCAAAGAAGCUAGCUAGCUAGUAGACUUAGGAAUAAUCAUGGUGAUAAAUCCUCACUUCGCUAUCAUACUUUGCAUAUUGUCAUGGUACGGUUGGACUUAGGAAGUAUAUAUCAGUUCUGCUUGUGUAGAUUAUACUAAUAAGGUGAUUUAUUAAAUGUUAUGAGACCUAGUCACCUGUGAUGUACUUAACGAUUUUUGCAGGCUCUACCUCAAUUAAAACUAGGCGUACUCCUAGAUUUGUAAAGUUUAGCUUCUUCUAAACUUUCUAAAAAAACAAAUAAUGGUUGUCAAAUUCAAAGAUUAAGAAUUUCAGUGUGGACGAUGACCGAGACAUUGAUAAGAUCGGAUGCCCCCACGUCCGCAUAAAUUGGAUCCUCCAAUGAUGCUGUAUACACACAUGUGCCAUUUGAGUGGAGGCAACUCUUUAAUACAUGCAUGUCCUCUUGGGGGUAAUUAACUGGACGACCCUCUAUAGGCAUGGCACUCUCCCUCAUUAAUAAAAUAUAUAGAAAUAUCGCUUUAGCGAACUGCUGCAGGACAAAUUUUUUUUUUCAAUUUUAACCAGUUUCUACAGAGAGUAAGAUGUAUAGAAGCCAUGGUAUUUAAAUGUUUGUCGUCUUUACGGUUGUUUCUCCUUCAGUUGCC
rnacentral:lncRNA from 1 species